GGGGCCCGUGAUGGCGGCGCCCGACGUGCUGCUGGUGAUGGGCGUGAGCGGCUCGGGGAAAUCCACCGUGGGCGCCCUGCUGGCAUCUGAGCUAGGAUGGAAAUUCUACGAUGCAGAUGACUACCACCCAGAGGAAAAUCGAAUGAAGAUGCAGAAAGGGAUACCGCUGAAUGACGAGAAUAUAUCAGCCUUGGUUUCAUCUUCCAAAACUACCUGCUGAUUGAAUUUGAUACAUAUACCCACCUUUCAGGACCAGGGAUGAGAAUGCUGGUGUCCACCCGGGAAUUCACGUAGCACCUGGAGCGGCUCCGGAAGAACUCUGUCCUUGUGGCCCCCUGUGACCCUCUAGAGAAGGAUCCCAACUGCGUAAUAACUGUGACUUGGAAACUUCUGUAAAAUAAAGUUGAAAGUACUUCAUUGCUAUCUCCAGCCUUCUCUCACUGAUUUUGUGGCUGGUGGACCCAGACCUUACUGGUGCUGUGAAUAAACUGGUCCAACAUGCAUUCUGAUUGGGGGCAGAUGUCUGAAAGCAUCUAUUUCUGUUUUAUCAUUCCAUUUAUUAAUAUUAGUUUUCAUUGUUGAGCUUCUGAGGAAUUUUAUUGUGACUAAAUGAAGCAACAUGCUUAAUUCUUAGCUAAGGCACGUAUUUAGACACUGGUAAAAUAAUAAAAAAGCAGGGAUUCAAAGUAAAGUUCUGUUUACCUGUACAAAGGGUAGAAAGUUUAUUACCCAAUUAUGUUUUCUGUUUUUUUUUUUUAAUUCGUUUGUUUCAUCCUUAUUGUGAAAUAUUUCAGUCAUGCAGAAAAUAUAAUGACUAAUAAAGUCAAUAUCAAGCUUAAUGCAAUAACAUGUUUCCUAAGCCAUAAAAUAAUACAGAGAUUGAUCUCUGUACAAAGAGAUUUGGUGCUGAUGGGCUGGAAGAAUUGUGCAAUCUAAUUAAAAUAACAAAACACAAGGUUGCUCCUCUGCUAGUGGGAAGAAAGGUAAGAUAUCUAAAGUACUAGAAAUUAAACAAAUUAUCCCCCUUCCUUGGUGCAUCCAAACCCACUAUGAACAUUUUGCUCAUGCAGAAGUAUAGUUCAUUUUUUGUUGUGUUUUCAUCUGUGAAUCAGUCCUAAUGCAUCAUUAUAAUUGCUUCUUGAACUCUUAAGUAGGUAUGUGAAUACUGAAUAUGUGAAUUAGCAUUUGACUGUCUGAACCUUCCAACUUGGAGAAGGGCAUGGCAGCCCACUCCAGUAUACCUGCCUGGAGAAUUCCAUGGACAGAGGAGCCUGGCAAGCUAUACAGUCCAUGGACUCGCAAACAGUCGGAGACGACUGAGCGACCUUCCUACUACCCCUUCCAAGCCAAAUAUUCUUGCUGAAUGGAGAUCAGCACUAGUCUCAGCUCAUCACAGCACUAGUCUCAGGAUUUUGUUUCACCUAGAGACAUGCACAGUGACAGGGAUGCAUUGUGGAAAAGGCUGCCUGACUGCCCAGAUGGGACCAGGGCAGUCAGGCUGUCUUGCUGGCUCAACCCUUGAUACUGUCAACACAUUGAACACAGGUUCAUGUCUCAUAUGAGAACCCCACUAGUCAGGUUCACAAGAUUUCUACAUAAAACCAGAAUGCCAGUUGAUUAAUUUACAAGGAGAAAUUUAACUGCCACGUGGCCCAUAACACAUCAAUCUGAUUUCAUAAGCCAAAAUGCAGUCAGGUAGCUCAGUGAACAUGCAAUCAAAAGAGUAGGAAAGUUAAAACUUAAGUUUCUAAUGGUGUGAGACCACCCACCCCAUUAGACGAAGACGUUUGCUAAUGAGACCAUGAUAUUUGAAGUCAUAAGGCCAGAACUCCAUUACUCUGCUGUCUGAUCCUAUAGUGUUCCUGCCCUGGACUUGUACACCCAAGCCUCAUGUGCUUCCUUUAUGUGUGUUCAAAUACAUAGUUGGAUCAUAGUGAUGCACCGCUAGCCUGAGGGUCACUUUUUACUUCUUCAGAUGAGUUUAGACAUCUCUGUCCCUUUCUGUUAAGUGUUGAUCUUUAAAGCCUUAAAGAACAAGCUUCUUUCCUUCUUGUCCAAGUGCUUAGGAAGGUUAUCUCACUGCGGCCCCCAUAUGCUGUAAGAAGACUCCUUAACUUUAUAGAAAGUGAAAGUGAAGUUGCUCAUUCGUGUCCGACUCUUUGUGACCCCAUGGACUGUAUGUAG